rnacentral:rRNA from 1 species
UUGGCGGACGGGUGAGUAACGCGUGGAAAACCUGCCGUAUACUGGGGGAUAACACUUAGAAAUAGGUGCUAAUACCGCAUAAGCGCACAGCUUCGCAUGAAGCGGUGUGAAAAACUCUGGUGGUAUACGAUGGUUCCGCGUCUGAUUAGCUGGUUGGCAGGGUAACGGCCUACCAAGGCGACGAUCAGUAGCCGGCCUGAGAGGGUGAACGGCCACAUUGGGACUGAGACACGGCCCAAACUCCUACGGAAGGCAGCAG